rnacentral:rRNA from 1 species
GACGAACGCUGGCGGCGUGCUUAACACAUGCAAGUCGAACGGAAAGGCCCUGCUUUUGUGGGGUGCUCGAGUGGCGAACGGGUGAGUAACACGUGAGUAACCUGCCCUUGACUUUGGGAUAACUUCAGGAAACUGGGGCUAAUACCGGAUAGGAGCUCCUGCUGCAUGGUGGGGGUUGGAAAGUUUCGGCGGUUGGGGAUGGACUCGCGGCUUAUCAGCUUGUUGGUGGGGUAGUGGCUUACCAAGGCUUUGACGGGUAGCCGGCCUGAGAGGGUGACCGGGAGAUUGGGGCCAGAGUCACGGCCGAGGCACCUGGGGGGGGCAGGGGGGGGGGAUCGUGAGCAUGGGGCGGGGGCCGGGCGCGACAAAGGGGGGUGGGGGGGUCGGGCCUCCGGGUGGAAAACGGUUUUGCCGUGAGAAGAGGCGUGGGGGGGGGAAUGGGUAAAGAAAGCACGGCUAACUAAGGG